rnacentral:misc_RNA from 1 species
GGAAGGAGCGACGCUAUCAAAACCGUUAAUCCUACCAGCUUUCCAGGCAGAAGAAGUCCAUUGUACUGGAAGAGCUUUUAGCUCCAGUUUGAGUGCAAGAGAGAAGAGGCUAGUCUGUGUGACCAGUGGGAAUUCUUGCUUGGGUUCUCAUAUAGUGAAGGAGCUCUUGGCUAACGGCUACCUUGUUCGAGUCACCAUUCAAAACCCAGUGGAUUUUGAAGACAUUAAGGAACUAAUGAAAGAUGAAGAGAUAAACCAACUAGAAAGUGUUGUGGUAGCAAAGAUGCAAGAUUUGGAAAGUCUUUGUGAUGCAUUUAGAGGUUGUCAUGCUAUUUUCCACACCUCAUCUUUCAUAGAUCCGCAUGGAGUUUCAGGUUAU